GCGGCUGUAGUCUAGUGGUUAGGAUUCGAGCCUUCCAAGCUCGCGACCUGGGUUCAAAUCCCGGCAGCCGCA
rnacentral:tRNA from 1 species